rnacentral:rRNA from 1 species
GACGAACGCUGGCGGCGUGCUUAACACAUGCAAGUCGAACGGAAAGGCCCUGCUUUUGUGGGGUGCUCGAGUGGCGAACUGGUGAGUAACACGUGAGUAACCUGCCCUUGACUUUGGGAUAACUUCAGGAAACUUGGGCUAAUACCGGAUAGGAGCUCCUGCUGCAUGGUGGGGGUUGGAAAGUUUCGGCGGUUGGGGAUGGACUCGCGGCGUAUCAGCUUGUUGGUGGGGUAGUGGCUUACCAAGGCUUUGACGGGUAGCCGGCCUGAGAGGGUGACCGGACACAUUGGGACUGGGAUAAGGCCCAGCCUACAACGGGAGGCAGGGGUGGAGAAUAGUACACAAGGGGAGGAAGCCUGAUGCAGCACAGCCGCGUGGGGGAUGACGGGAUUCGGGUAGUAAACCGAUUUCGCCUGUGACGAAGCGUGAGUGACGGUAAUGGGUAAAGAAGCACCGGCUAACUACGUG